GCCGAAAUAGCUCAGUUGGGAGAGCGUUAGACUGAAGAUCUAAAGAUAACGGGUUUCGGCAGAUCAGAUGAAAUUCUCUUUAUGAGUUUAAUCUUUUAUCCCCUUGUCUGCAUGCUUUUUUAAAUAUGCAGAGAAAUUUUUAAUUUCGGAUUCUGUUCUCAUAUCUAUCCUUCUAGUGACGAAAUACCUCAGUAGGGAGAGCGUUAGACUAAAGAUCUAAAUGUCCCUGGUUCGAUCCCGGGUAUCGGCA